UACGGAGGGUCCAAGCGUUAUCCGGAAUCAUUGGGUUUAAAGGGUCCGUAGGCGGUUUUGUAAGUCAGUGGUGAAAGCCCAUCGCUCAACGGUGGAACGGCCAUUGAUACUGCGAGACUUGAAUUAUUAGGAAGUAACUAGAAUAUGUAGUGUAGCGGUGAAAUGCUUAGAUAUUACAUGGAAUACCAAUUGCGAAGGCAGGUUACUACUAAUAUAUUGACGCUGAUGGACGAAAGCGUGGGGAGCGAACAGG
rnacentral:rRNA from 1 species